UUGCUCAAGCAAAGUACCUAAUGAUCACAGCUCUGCUGUUGACUUGGUUCUUGUAGGAUCAGCAACAGCCUAAAUUGUAAGAGACAGUCUCCACUUCAGGUGACCACCACACCACCUCCCCGCAUACACCCAGCAGUGUCUAAAGACAGAGGAGCCAGAGAGGCGAGGCACCGCCUGGUAGGGGUCCAGCUUGGAGACCAGCUUGGCGGAGGCCGAGAAGCCAUUCCACAUACAGUCCUGCAGGAUGAUGUUCUUCACGAAGGUCUCGUCAUCCGGGUCGCAGACGAAGCUCUGCUUCACCGCGUCUCCUCCUGGCAGCUCGGGCAGGUCUGCGAUGGAGAAGCUAUCACCGUCGUGGUCCCUGGGGGCGAAAGACACGGCGACCGCUUCGCAGGGAGGCGAGUAGAGCCCGGCGUGGCCCGGGGACGGGCGCGGCGUGGGCAGCAGCUCGAAUUUCUUCCAGAUGUCCUCGCUGGGCGCUGGCGGCUGCGGCGGCUGCUGGUGGUGCACGUCCUCCUCCUCAUCGUCGCACAUGAAGUAUGGCUGCACCGAGUCAUAGUCCAGGUCGCGGUUGCCGUUAGCGAGGCUCACGUGGAGGGGCAUGGUCGCGGCGUUGCGUUUGGAGGCGACCCGGAGGGGUGCAGGGCUGCUGCGGAAACCUGGCGCGCUGCGCAGCAGCCCCGAACCACUCCCCUUCCCAGACCCUCACUUCCGACAAUCCCGACAGUCCCUUCACCAGGCUCGGUCUCCGGCUGCAGCGGAGGGAGGAGGCGUCAGCUCGUCGCCAGACGCCACGCUCAAAGUAUCGCGCCACCUUACGGAGAGGGGCUAUAGGCGCUGCAUCCUACGUGCACAGGAUACAUUUUCGUGGACGCAGAUAACCUAUUCUCCGCAUACUCUCACUCAUUUCCUGCUAGUGUCUACCUCUCCACCUCUCAGUCCUCUUCGUUCGCCCAGUGACUCUUCUACUUUCAUGUCAUUUGUAACACGUGUGAUUUCAUGUACCUAUGAAAUCGAGAACC
ensembl:antisense A230005M16Rik RIKEN cDNA A230005M16 gene